AAGUCGUAACAAGGUCUCCGUUGGUGAACCAGCGGAGGGAUCAUUACAGAGUUAUCUAACUCCCAACCCAUGUGAACUUACCUCUGUUGCCUCGGCAGAAGCUACCUGUACCUACCUGGAACAGCCUACCUGGAGCGAUUCGGGCUGGCUUACCUGGAACGGUCUGGUGGUCGACUGCCGGUGGACCAUUCAACUCUUGUUAUUUUAUUGUAAUCUGAGCGUCUUAUUUUAAUAAGUCAAAACUUUCAACAACGGAUCUCUUGGUUCUG
rnacentral:misc_RNA from 1 species